GCUGGGUGCCAUGGCAUACACCUGUAAUCCUCGAGACUUGGGAGGCUGAGGCAGGAGGAUUGUAAGUUAAAGGCCAGCCUCCAACUUAAUAAGACCCUGUCUCA
rnacentral:SRP_RNA from 1 species